GACAGAGGUGCCAAGCGUUAGGCGGAAUCACUGGGCUUAAAGCGUGUGUAGGCGGAUUCCUAAGUACCUUGUGAAAUCCCACGGCUCAACCGUGGAACUGCUCGGUAUACUGGGUAUCUUGAGCCACUUAGGGGCGACCGGAACAAAUGGUGGAGCGGUGAAAUGCGCAGAUAUCAUUUGGAACGCCAAUGGUGAAAACAGGUCGCUGGGAGUGUGCUGACGCUGAGACGCGAAAGCCAGGGGAGCAAACGGG
rnacentral:rRNA from 1 species